rnacentral:rRNA from 1 species
GGUGAACGCCGGCGGUGUGCCUAAUACAUGCAAGUCGUACGCACUGGCCCAACUGAUUGAUGGUGCUUGCACCUGAUUGACGAUGGAUCACCAGUGAGUGGCGGACGGGUGAGUAACACGUAGGUAACCUGCCUCAUACGAGGGGGAUAACAGUCAGAAAUGGCUGCUAAUACCGCAUAAGCGCACGAGGGCCGCAUCGGCCCGGUGUAGAAAAACUCCGGUGGUAUAAGAUGGACCCGCGUCUGAUUAGCUGGUUGGUGGGGUAACGGCCCACCAAGGCGACGAUCAGUAGCCGGCCUGAGAGGGUGAACGGCCACAUUGGGACUGAGACACGGCCCAG